GGAUUUGUGGCACAAUGGUAGCGUGCCUGACUCUAGAUCAGAAUUUUGUGUGUUCGAUUCACGUCGAGUUCA
rnacentral:tRNA from 1 species